GUGGGUAUAAGAGGCUGGGGAGGCAAGCAUAGCAACCAGAGCUGGAGACUGAUGUGAACUUGAUCUUUCUCCCCAGAAAAGGCUCGACAUCAACUAUAUAGCCAACAUGUCCAAGGUGUUUAAGAAGACCAGCUCCAAUGGGAAGCUCUCCAUCUACCUGGGGAAACGGGACUUCGUGGACCACGUGGACACAGUGGAACCCAUUGAUGGUGUAGUCCUGGUUGAUCCCGAGUACUUAGAAGGUCGAAAGUGUAAGUGGAAAUCCUUGUUGGUCUUUGUAUGUUUCAGACAGGUAACCCGAUGAGUGGAUUGCGCCAGAAAUGUAUAAGAAAACCAGAAUGUGGCAGGAACUGUGAAUACCUUGUCUGGUGGAGGCUGACAACUGGGAAUUCCAGCCCAGUGUGGCCAAAUUUUCUAAUUGUUAACUAGAAACUGUAAAUGAAGCUCAAAAUAUGAAAAGAUUAUGGUGCCCCCUUACCCAAAUAAUAGUCCAAGUAAAUAUCUAAAGCAUAAAUUAAAUUUUAUUUUUCAAAAUUAUACAGAAUUUACACGUGCUGAAAUUAAAAUAGCUUCUUUCAAAAUUGUGAAUUUUCUCUAUUAUUAUUGGUGGUGCCCCUGCUUGGCUAUUGAUCUGAAUCUUAGACUGCCUAUGAUAUAAUCCAAUAAGCCAGAAAUCCAUAUUUUAAUGCAAAUUUCCUGAUUUUCAAAUGUUGGCAACUCACCAAAAGACUUUAGAAGCCUGGAUAGAUUAAACCCCCAACCCCGCUUUUUUUUCUGUUGGCCAGAUGUGACCUUCAGGCUGCCAUUCUGCAACCUCUGGUAUACAUCUUUCAUCUUCCUUUUUGUGUUAGGAAACUGCCUGACCUUUUAUUCGAGAAAAAAAUUCCAAAGAAACAAAAUAACCAUAAGAAGUAACAGUAAGAAACAUUACUCUGGAAGCAGCACUACAGAUCAAGAUUACACUGAAUUUUUUUUUUUUUUUUUUGGCUGCUUUUUUUCCCUUUUAAUUCUCACUAUGGAUUAACUCCACUGUGAUCCAACUAGAAUGAAAAUUGGGUUUGAUUUGAAAAAGGCCCUGAAUGGGUUGAUGAAUACUAGUUCAGAUGUAACCAUUAGAUAUUGGAGAAUAAAGCAGCCUAAAUCUCUUAGAUUAAGCAAUGUCAAAAAGCAAUCCAGUCAAUUUGAAAUAUUAGAGGAACUUUGGAAUAGGCUCAUAAAUUAACCAACUUAUUUGAGGUUCCCAAGUAUUCUAUAUUUCUAAAAUCGAAAUCAUUUUUUCACAUUUCUAUAAAAUCCUCACAAGCUAUGGAAAGAAAUCUUUAGUUAAAAAAUAUAUGUUGUUCUAGGAAGAUAAUGCAUUUUUCCUUUUAUUCUAAUCUUCCUUUAUGUCCCCUUAGUACAGUUUUAUAUUACUUUUCAUUUAAGUUGCGCACGUUUCUUUCUUUUUUUUUUUUUUUUUUUUUUGAGACGGAGUUUCGCUCUCGUUGCCCAGUCUGGAGUGCAAUGGCAGG
rnacentral:lncRNA from 1 species